rnacentral:tRNA from 1 species
UGUUGUGUAGCUCAGUGGUAGAGCAUUUUAUUUUACUAGCAUGCCUGAGGCCCUGUGUUCAAUCCCCAGCACUGCAA